rfam:Triticum aestivum genome assembly, contig: Triticum_aestivum_CS42_TGACv1_scaffold_670383_T_3DS-0.021748_5BL-0.019121
UUUCUACUCCCUCCGUCCGAAAAUACUUGUCAUCAAAAUGGAUAAAAAGAGAUGUAUCUAAAACUAAAAUACGUAGAUACAUUUCCUUUUAUCCAUUUUGAUGACAAGUAUUUCUGGACGGAGGGAGUAUUUG